GGAUGUGAGGGUGAUCUGGCUGGGACAUCUGUCACCCCAUUGGUCGCCGGGGUUGAUUCAGGCUGUCCGCCUGGCUAACUGGGUAUCCCCGUCCUCCCUCACAGCUCCAUGCGUGUCUCUCCUGAAGCUGCCUGCCUGAUCCAAGAAGAUGACCUUGCUCCAUAGAGGAGGAACAAGGUUGCUGGGUCAAGGGCAUGCAAAUAGCUGCUCUCCCUUGCUGGAGCCUCUCGAGGUUCCUUUAUAACAGAACGUAGGGCAGUCAAGCUUCCAAGAUUCCAGACACAUCCAAUGAGGGGCUGCAUGUGGGGGUCUGGGUCCCUUU
rnacentral:snRNA from 1 species